UUUAAUGAGUUUGUUUUUAAGCCCCCAAAUGUUCCAUUUGCUUUUGCAGUUGGUGUUGUUCGUCAUUCCAACGUGGAUAGCAUAAUAGAAGCACAAAGGUUUCUAGUUCCAAAAGUGCUCUUUCUUCUCUCUUAUUUCUCAUCUCUCUUUAUGUAUCUAUAGAUAUUAAUUCUACGCCAAAUUGUGGAGGAUGUGAAGAAUUAAGAGGUGUUGGUGUUGAACUUAAUUUAUUCUUUUGGAUAAAUAAGAGCAAGGGAGAACUAAGCAAUUUGUUGACUGCAAAAGGUGAUUGAAUGGCAAAAGUCUGUUGGCCAUACUUUGAUCCUGAGUAUGAGAACUUCAGCAACAGAAUCAACCCUCCAAGGGUCUCUAUGGACAAUGAUAGUUGCCCUGAUUGUACACUGAUCAAGAUUGACAGUGUCAAUAAGCCUGGAAUUCUGCUGGAAGUCGUGCAAAUCCUGACAGACCUUGAUUUCAUAAUUACCAAAGCUUACAUUUCUUCUGAUGGUGGAUGGUUUAUGGAUGUAUUUCAUGUCACGGAUCAGCAAGGAAAGAAGAUAACAGACAGCAAAAUUAUCGACUUCAUUGAAAAGGCUCUAGGACCAAAGGGCCGCCAGAGCAAAGAAGGUAUGCAAAGUUGGGAGGGUAAACGGGUUGGCGUGCACUCCAUUGGUGAUCAUACAGCCAUUGAGCUCAUUGGUAGGGACCGGCCAGGUCUUUUGUCUGAGAUAUCAGCCGUCCUUGCAAGCCUCCAAUUCAAUGUGAUUGCGGCUGAAGUUUGGACUCAUAACAGGCGAAUAGCAUGUGUCCUUUAUGUCAAUGAUGCUACAAACCAGGCUAUGGAUGAUGACUCGAAAAGGUUGUCUAUCAUCGAGGAGCAGCUCAACCACAUCUUACGCGGAUGUGAGGAUGACGAGAAAGAGAAAGUGGCUCGGAAGACCAGUUUCUCCAUGGGCUUCACCCACAUGGACAGGAGGCUCCACCAAAUGUUGUUUGCUGAUAGGGAUUAUGAGAGUGCUGCUGGAGUAACCACAACAAAUGUUGAUUGUCCCUCUUUCAGGCCAAAUAUCAAAAUAGAACGUAUUGAGGAAAAAGGUUACUCUGUGGUUAGUGUGAGAUGCAAAGAUCGGGCAAAAUUGAUGUUUGACAUUGUCUGCACUCUCACUGACAUGGAAUAUGUUGUUUUUCAUGCCUCAAUCUCAUCUGAAGGCCCUUAUGCAUCACAGGAGUACUUCAUCAGGCAUGUGGAUGGAUGCACACUUGACACUGAAGGGGAGAAAGAAAGGGUCAUCAAAUGCAUUGAAGCCGCUAUUCAAAGAAGAGUAAGCGAGCUAUCUACUUGUAUUGUUGCGAAUGGUACGGUAUACAUACAUGGGGAUAAGUUCCACUCAGAUUGUAUCUGACCAUCGUAUCCACCAAUGAAUCGGUGACGGUUGAUUGAUGGUCUUUUGUCUUCACUAGAGCUUAAGAUUCCUUAUGCUCCACGACUAAAAACAUAGUUUUAUAUAGGCUAAAUUACAUCCGUGGUCCCUUAACUUAAUUUCAGACAGAAGAUGAUAGUGUUGGUUACCAUUGAUCCUCUGGAUGAUGGACACAGGGUGUGAGCCUUGAGCUGUGUGCAAAGGAUAGAGUGGGCUUGCUGUCUGAAGUGACUAGGAUUCUACGAGAAAAUGGCCUGACAGUUUGUAGGGCAGGUGUAUCAACCAUAGGAGAGAAAGGACUAAAUGUUUUCUAUGUAAGAGAUGCAUAUGGAAACCCUGUGGACAUGAAAAUCAUUGAAGCACUGAAUAAAGAAAUUGGCCAGACUGUGAUGGUUAAUGUGAAGAAGGUACCAGCGAACACCAAAGCACCCGAAGCGUCCCGAGGAUGGUCUAGAAUAAGCUUCUUCUUUGGGAACUUGUUGGAAAGGUUUUUGACUUGAAGUAAGAGUUGAGAAUCAUAUGCACCUGAUUCUUAUUCUGGUUGCUUGUGAUUUGUAAAUGACACAACACAAAUGUAUGUAUAAGAAUAAAGCUGUUGUGUGUCAAACUUGGACAGUGUCAGUGAUUUAACUUGGUCCUUUUGUUUUAAACCAAACAAUGCUUGUAAGAUUUAACUUGUAUUCCCUCUCCUCUAUCAUGUCCGACUUGCAUCUAUCCUAUUUUAAUUUCAGUUUUUAGUGUCUUUUUAGAUUAGUAUGAGAAAUCUAAAAAGUGGGAAUUAUGUUGAUUA